AGAAAUUGUGACUGAUACUAGAGAUUUCAAGAACCAUUCCUUCUGUGUAUUAUCCUUCAGCUGUAUCCUACAUCAAGAGGAGCGACAGGUCUUGCUCUUCCCACACUGGUUAGAGUUUGGAGAUUCCCAAAGGUCUCUGUGUUGACAACCUGAAAAUGCUUUCUAAUUUGUGAUUAGUGCAGAGCAGCAAGAGGAAGAGUUGGCAUGAACAGCUCUUAGCAAGUAAGAGAGGAACAUAGAAAACCCAACAGGAAAUCUGUAGCCAGCAUCCUGCAGCUUCAGCAUGGACACUUAGGAGAUGCUUCCCUUCCCUCAUCCCUAAAAGCAAAGUACAGAGCUGCUUGGUGAGUCCACCCAACAUCCUGCUCCUGAAGAGGACACUGCUGUUUAUGAAACAGAAACGAAGUCAUGGCCAAGAGUUACACAGUAUUGAGAGUUUCUGCUCUUUGUGUGUUUCUCCAGACACUUUUGUUGUGCUCUAGCAAGUACCCCAAAUAGCCAGACUCUUCUGUAGUCUGUAGCUGCAGAGUGAGUAAUCUGAAACCAUGUAAUUUAUUUAAUGCCAUUUCACUCCUUAGCUUGCAGAAUCUCUGUGAGAAAUAUUCCAGGUGCCUUGACCUUAUUUUUUUCAGAUUUGUUUUGAACAGCAUGUCUGGAACAUGUGUUUCAUGUGUUAUAUUUCCUCUGUGGAUUCAUCUUUGACAUUCAAUGUGUGAACUUUUCUUAUAAUUAGUUCUGAUCAGUAGAGCUAGUUCAAGUACCACUGCAGAUCGUUUAACUCAGAUUUCUUGUUGGCAGUCACAAAACACUCACAGGAUGCAGGGCUGUAGCUGUGCAGGAGUGGAAUUCUGCCCCUAACUCACUUUAAACUCAAGUCAGAGGAUAUUCAGGUACACUUUGGAUGCCCGCAGCAGGUUUGCAAAGCCAGUGGUCAAGUAUAUGGUAAAUGUAUUCAACACACAAAUUUACUCAAAUCCCUCAGGUUUUUUAGUUAGAUAAAUCUGUCUCUCAGCUGGAUGAGGUUUUAUUCCAUGAUUUCAUAAGUACUUGCUUUACAAACAUCUGUAAAUUUAAAGCAGACUUACUUUCAAUACCUUUACCAGUUGGGUUUGGUUCCUUCAAGUGCCACCUGAGGAGAAAAACAAAAGGAGCAUUUCAGUGGUUAGAGCAGACUCAUUGAAUAUUGAAAUAUUAUUUUUUUGCCUUUACUUGCUUGGGGUUUUCAGUAGAUUUUAGGGAGGGAUGAGUUAAUUAGUCAUGGGAAAAAAUCCAAAGUAGCAAGAGCCUAAACCCCAGACUGCUCCGGAAAUGGUGUGAAAUUUUUUCUUUACCUUUGAUUGUAUAUCUUGCCUGCACUAUUUUUGCCAACAAUUGCAGAAGUCUUGCCUUUCAGGAAG
rnacentral:lncRNA from 1 species